rnacentral:piRNA from 1 species
UGGGGAUACCUAGAAUAACUCACAGAACUU